GACGAACGCUGGCGGCGUGCUUAACACAUGCAAGUCGAACGGAAAGGCCCCUUUGGGGGUACUCUAGUGGCGAACGGGUGCGUAACACGUGAGUAACCUGCCCUUCACUUCGGGAUAACUUCAGGCCACUGCGGCUAAUACCGGAUAGGAAUCUUUGCUGCAUGGUGGGGGUUGGAAAGCUUCGGAGGCUUUGGAUGUAGUCGUGGCUUAUCAGCUUGUUGGUGGGGUAGUGGCUUACCAAGGCUUUGACGGGUAGCCGGCCUGAGAGGGCGACCGGCCACAGUGGGUCUGAGAGACGGCCCAGAUCUCUACGGGGGGCAGAAGUGGGGAAUAUUGCACAAUGGGCGGAAGCCGGAUGCAGCAACGCCGCGUGCGGGAUGACGGCCGUCGGGUUGUAAACCGCUUUCAGCAGGGGCGAAGCUUGUGGUGACGGUACCUGCAGAAGAAGCACCGGCUAACUACGUG
rnacentral:rRNA from 1 species